rnacentral:lncRNA from 1 species
UCUUCAAGCGUCAGAGGCAAAAGGCCCCGUACUGUAACUGUGGGUCAUGGGACCUUGCGUUAUUUCAUUGGCCACCCAGUACUGAUGCUGUCAUUCUUCUGUGGUGUGGCAAACAGCCAGGUCCCGUCAUAAUCACCUUUUCCACACUGCUCACUGCCAUUUCCCUCAGGGGACAAAGGAGGUUAGCACAACAAAGAGACUCCUCUCAAAACAGAGUAGCAAAUGCCACAGGUCAGGAGUUCACUAUUUAAAGCUCCUGCUUUUCUACGGCAUUACCUCAAUGGUCUGGGCAUCCCUACUGCUGCUUUAGAAGGAAAAGAGAGAUUAUAUUCAGACUCAAGCCCGACAGCCGAACCAAUCUCUACCAGCCAAUGACAGAUCCGGACAGAGCCCCUGCAAAUGAUAUCGCCUACCCUGCAGAUAGCUGGAGGAGGAGGAGGAGGAAGAGGAUGGGAGCUCAUCCAUCAUGAGGAUGAAGUCUUGCUUUAAAAAAUCUGGAUGUCAGCAAAAAUCAAUUCCUGCUUGCCAACUGUCUCAAAAGCAAGUUUGUUGUCCCUUACUCCCACGGGUGGAUUCCAGUCCCAGCUGAUGAGAACUCUGUGAACAAUAACC